AAUCCAUGGACGCCCCAAUAGACAACUGUAGGCGGGCUGGAUGUCCAUAACAUAGAAGAUGAUAUCGAAUAUCUCAGGACCUAUCUUCACAGGCAAGGUAACUUCCCCACACACAGAACGUUUGGAACCGUCGAAAGCACGAACGAUCAGGUCGCUGGGGUUAAGCACACACCCUUCCGCAUCAAUCUUCUUCAGAAUCUGCUUAGGCAGCACAUUCAGCGACGACCCGGUGUCUACCAAUACGUGAGACAACACUGCCCCCUUGCACUCCAUGGUAAUGUGCAAGGCUUUGUUAUGGUUUCGCCCUUCAGGUGGUAAGUCCAAGUUG
rnacentral:lncRNA from 1 species